CAGCCGCCGCGGGAAUACAGAGGGUGCGAGCGUUAAUCGGAUUUACUGGGCGUAAAGCGUGCGUAGGCGGCUUUUUAAGUCGGAUGUGAAAUCCCUGAGCUUAACUUAGGAAUUGCAUUCGAUACUGGCAAGCUAGAGUAUGGGAGAGGAUGGUAGAAUUCCAGGUGUAGCGGUGAAAUGCGUAGAGAUCUGGAGGAAUACCGAUGGCGAAGGCAGCCAUCUGGCCUAAUACUGACGCUGAGGUACGAAAGCAUGGGGAGCAAACAGGAUUAGAUACCCCAGUAGUCCCUGUCUCUUAUAA
rnacentral:rRNA from 1 species